rnacentral:rRNA from 1 species
AGGACGAACGCUGGCGGCGUGCCUAAACAUGCAAGUCGAACGGAGCCUUCGGGCUCAGUGGCGAACGGCGGAGUAAUACGUGAGCAACGUGCCCUAAAGACCGGGAUAGUCAGUGGAAACGCUGGGUAAUACCGGAUGUGGAGAAUAGCCGGCAUCGGCAGUUCUUUAAAUGGAUUUUCGCUUUAGGAGCGGCUCACGGCCUAUCAGGUAGUUGGUGGGGUGAAGGCCUACCAAGCCGACGACGGGUAGCGGGUCUGAGAGGAUGACCCGCUCGAGUGGGACUGAGACACGGCCCACACACCUACGGGUGGCAGCAGUUGGGAAUCUUGCACAAUGGGGGGAACCCUGAUGCAGCGACGCCGCGUGGAGGAUGACGGGUCUAGGCCUGUAAACUCCUUUUACCAGGAAAGACUUAGGACGGUACCUGGUGAAUAAGCACCGGCUAACUACGUGCCAGCAGCCGC